AUUGAACGCUGGCGGCAGGCCUAACACAUGCAAGUCGAACGGUAACAGGAAGCAGCUUGCUGCUUCGCUGACGAGUGGCGGACGGGUGAGUAAUGUCUGGGAAGCUGCCUGAUGGAGGGGGAUAACUACUGGAAACGGUAGCUAAUACCGCAUAAUGUCGCAAGACCAAAGAGGGGGACCUUCGGGCCUCUUGCCAUCGGAUGUGCCCAGAUGGGAUUAGCUUGUUGGUGGGGUAACGGCUCACCAAGGCGACGAUCCCUAGCUGGUCUGAGAGGAUGACCAGCCACACUGGGACUGAGACACGGUCCUGGCUCCUACGGGAGGCAGCAGUGGGGAAUAUUGGACGAUGGGCGGAAGCCUGAUGCAGCCGUGCCGCGUGUAUGAAGAGGGCCUUCGGGUUGUAAAGUACUUUCAGCGGGGAGGAAGGGAGUAAAGUUAAUACCUUCGCUCAUUGACGUUACCCGCAGAAGAAGCACCGGCUAACUACGUG
rnacentral:rRNA from 1 species